AUACGUAGGGUGCAAGCGUUAAUCGGAAUUACUGGGCGUAAAGCGUGCGCAGGCGGUUUUGUAAGACAGAGGUGAAAUCCCCAGGCUCAACCUGGGAACUGCCUUUGUGACUGCAAGGCUAGAGUACGGCAGAGGGGGAUGGAAUUCCGCGUGUAGCAGUGAAAUGCGUAGAUAUGCGGAGGAACACCGAUGGCGAAGGCAAUCCCCUGGGCCUGUACUGACGCUCAUGCACGAAAGCGUGGGGAGCAAACAGGAUUAGAUACCCUGGUAGUCCACGCCCUAAACGAUGUCAACUGGUUGUUGGGUCUUCAUUGACUCAGUAACGAAGCUACCGCGUGAAGUUGACCGCCUGGGGAGUACGGCCGCAAGGUUGAAACUCAAAUGAAUUGGCGGGG
rnacentral:rRNA from 1 species